AUGCUUCUCCUAAAGACCAGGCCAUGCAUGUCUCCGAAUAGAAGAGCAAGUCUCUCUGAAUCUGCGAACGGCUCCGCAUACCAGUUGUAAACCAUAGCAAGCAAACCGGGUCGUCGCUUCACGGCGUGCGGCUCGGUUCAUAAGGAUACCCAUGGUAAUUCUGAGGCUAAUACAAGAACGUACAACCCACUCGACCCGCAAGGGAAGGGAGGGGAAUGUGUGACUAGGCACGCAAAUAUUGUACUGGGAGUGGCCACACGUUCAGACCGCCACACCAAACGGUUGUUCGCUUCGAAAGCCUCCGGGCGAGUAGCGGCGGGCUUCAGGGCGGCUCUUGCUGUGUGCUUCUGACCUAUCAACUAGAUGGCAGCGUAACGGACAUGCUAUGGUGACAACGGGUACAGAGGAUAAGGGUUCGAUCCUGGAGAGUGGGCCUGAGAGAUUGCUCACACUUCUAAGGAAGGCAGCAGGCGCGCAACGUUCCAUUGGGCAAAGCUCGAGGGCGUUAGGGGACAUAUGAAUGCCUGCCUUAUGGUGGGCAAUUCAAAUGGGACUGUUUUAAACAUCCUA
rnacentral:rRNA from 1 species